CCCAUCUCCUCCCCCUUGCAAUGAGAUAAUGAAUCGUAAUACCUAUCUAUCCAGUCCUGGGAAUCACGAAGACUAAUAGAGCAUCCCUUGGCUGAAGAGGGCACUAGGACCCUCCAGACUCCUGGAAGCAGCGGGCUUGGCAAGGAGUCAGUGACACUGAACUCACUGCGCUGUUACACAAGGCAGAGAGGAGUGGUGGAGGCAGCAGCCACAGCAGCGGCGGCGGCGGCGGCGGCGGUGGCGGCGGUGGCAGCAGCAGCAGCAGCAGCAAAGGCAGAAGCAUCUGUGUGUCCUCUGUCACUGCCAAUGGAAAGCUGACGGAAGCAACAGUGUCAUAAAGAGAUGGGCUAGUUCUCCCCCAGCUGCUGAAAUCGGGAGACAUUUGGAGCUAUGCGCUCUUAUCUGUCACCAUUGUAUUGACUUCAUUGGCCCAAGACGAUUGCUCCCCUCAAGUGGAAAGACUAUGAAGACAUCCACAGUUUGCUUUGGCUUGGACUGUGCACUUCCUGCACAUAUUCCAGGUUUCAUUUGAAGUAGUUUAGACUGGGUCUAAUAAUUAAAUCGUAGCCCCGACUUUUUCAUUGUUCAGUUGCAGUGAUUAUGGGUGGUGUGUGUCCAGCUUCCCUAUUUUAAAAAAAUAGCUAAACAUAAAAUCCACCAACGUAAAAAACCCAGGGAAACCCUACAAGAUAACUGAAAAUUCUACUACGUUACUUACCUACGUUGAUAUAAAGAAAAGAAGAUGCUUUCACUAGGACCUUAGUGAAAAUUUCAAUGUACUGUCUUAUGUAUCCUGAACCCAGCUUUGCUGCUUACUGCCUUUAUAACCUUGGGCAAAUCACCUCCAUUGACUAGGCUUCAGUUUUCUGUUCUGUCAAAAUCAAGGGGUUGGACUAGAUGACGUCUAAGGCCCCUCCCAAUUCCAAGUCUAGGAUCCUAUGAUUUUGAUUUCAAAUGUUACCUCACAUCUAAGUACUCUAGGCUAGUACCCAUUCAUGAAUUAAAAGCACGAGAGAGCCCAGAACUAGGAGUCAGAACACCUGAUCUCAAUUUUUGGACUCUGCUGCUUUCUGCCUCUGGGAUCUUAAAUAAAUCAUCCUCAUAUUACCUCUUUGUGCCUCA
rnacentral:lncRNA from 1 species